GGCCUCCCCCGACGCGGUGUUUCCCUUCCCCCGCAGGGCCAUGGAGUUUGUGCCGCCGUUCCAGCGCGUGGUGCAGCCCGAGGAGAUGUGGCUUUACAGAAACCCCUACGUGGAAGCGGAUCACGUACCCACGCUGCCCAUGCUUUUCAUCGCGUUUCUGUCUCCCCUGUUGCUCAUUGUCCUGGCAAGGGUGUUCAUGAAUGCUGACCGAGAAGACACGCGGGAAGCCUGCCUUGCUGCCAGCCUUGCUCUUGCCCUAAACGGGGUUUUCACCAAUGCCCUGAAGCUCGUUGUGGGGAGGCCACGGCCAGACUUCUUCUAUCGAUGCUUCCCAGACGGACGAGCAAACGCAGAGCUGGUGUGCACAGGCGACCCGGGCAUAGUGACUGAGGGACGCAAGAGCUUCCCCAGCGGACACGCUUCGUUCGCCUUCGCUGGUCUCUCCUUCUCUGCCUUCUACAUAGCUGGGAAGCUGCACUGCUUCACUCCCGGCCGGGGAGGCAGGGCGCUGCGGCUCUGCGCCUUCCUCCUCCCGCUGUUCCUCGCCACCCUCAUCGCCGUGUCCCGCACCUGCGACUACAAGCACCACUGGCAAGAUGUGUUGGUUGGCUCAGCAAUCGGCUUUGUGCUUGCGUACCUCUGCUACCGGCAGUAUUACCCUCCUCUGGUGGACUCCAUGUGCCACAAACCAUUUCUGUGCAAAUCCAAACAACUGCCAGCACCCCAAGAGAAGUCUGCAGCUCCCAGCUUUCACCUGGAUAUAUAGUGAUGGGCUCCGUCCUGCCAGCGCCUUUCCUGCUGUUCCUUGAGUGCUGGGGCAGGGGAAGGGUUUGGAGAGGUUGGUCUGCGAGAAGUGGCUCAAUUAAGGAUGAAUCUGAAACCCAAGCAGGCGUUCUUGGCAGUGCUGGUAAGUUGUCCUGCUCAGGGGCCUGUGUUGCUUUGUUAACCAAAUUUUGUAGGCGUCCCUCCCUUCGGGCCUGCAGUGAAGCGAGCAAGGCACUCGGCGUGCAAGCCUGUGGGAGGGCAGCUCGGGUUAUGAAAGAUCCUGAAGCAAGAACUGGAAAAAUGUGACAAUCUGGUGUGCGCCGUCCGCGGGGUGGUCUUGUGUCCAGUCUGGAAAGCACCAUCAGUCCUCUCCCUUCCAUCCAGUCGAGCUCUCCCAUCCCUUCUCAUAGGAAACCUUUAAUACAAUUGUAAAGAGAUGACAGUCGGCAGAAAACGAAAUGGUGUCUGAAAGCAUCCCUUCAGAGGUGCUGGUUUCUCUGCACCGGGUUUGUUUUCUCAGACAAUGGAAGGGUAGAGUGCUGCUGAGAAACCCAAGGCACAGCUGUGUGGCAGGACUGUUGAGACGCUUUAGCAAUCGGUAGCUCAGGCGCCGGCUGAGCAGCGUGCCUGUUUCUGCAGUCAGGUAAAAGAACAGCUUCAGUUCCUUUGGGACGGGAGGAGGGUUGUAGGCUGCAAACAAAACCUUUCAAAUAGUGCAAAUAACGUAGUACAACAGAGGACAAAUGAACAGGCUGUGGAAAAAAGGCUCCUGACCCCAUGCAGGGCAAUGGUCAGUGGGAGGGAAAGUGGUCUGGCUCUUCCCAAAGGCUGUCACAGCAACCUGACACAUCACUGAAGCGGCUGCCUCUGCCUUGCCCCAAGGCUCCAGCCUCAGCCCAGCCCCCGAGUCAGCCUGGGUGGGUUUGGUCGCAAAGGGGGGGAUCACUGGAGGCUCUCUGGCCCCGUGCCCCCCGGAGCAGAGCUACCCCCCCACAGGCACCUGCAGACUCACCUGCCUGCAGAGCCGGCAACGUUCCUUCAGUGGGGCCAUGGGGACACAGUGCCCAGACCCUGCAGAUCUGGGCUCCGACUUCACUGGCUGCAUUUUGUGUAUUUAAACCCAAACCCAAUGACUGGAGCCUGGCUGGCGUGAGAUCCCCGUAGGCACCCCGAAAGCCAUGCUGCAGCAGGAUGCAGUGCCCCUGCAAAGCACAGAGUCCCUCCAGGCCUCUGAAUUGCCUGGGGGCUGCUGCGGAGCGGCUGCUUUCCCCCAGUAUGGCUGUAGUUUGAUCUGGGGGUGAAGCUUUCCUCCCAUAUGGUUACGCCACUAGCUCAGUCCUACGCAAGCUGCAGGCAGUGCCUGGGGGAGGCCCUUGGUUUGCUGGCUGCCGAGGGCUGGGUGAGGAUGCUGAGAAUUCGCUACAGCAGGCAGGAGCGCCUGGGUCACGUGCGCACAACCAUGCCGCUCGCACGAGCUGUUUUACAGGGCAGCCCUGCCUGGCACAGCCCAUGGGUGCACAAACCAUGCAGCAGCAAUUCGAGGAGGUGAGAAUGGCUGGGAGACACAUUUCCGCUCGCUUCGCAGCAGACGCCUGCGCCCUGGGCUUCGCCUCCCAAGGACCGCAGUCCUUGUGCCUGGUGCUCUGCGCUAGGGCAGGGAGAAGUCAGCGCUCUCCUUCGCUCGACAAGGCUGCUAUAGCUCUCUCCACGCUGCGUGUUUAAGGCUUUUAUUCCUCAAGGGCACAAGCUGCGGGUUUCUGCACUAUGCCAGGAGCAGCCCUCGAUGUCAGUUCCUAGCCCAGAGAGCGAGUCUGCUUCGGUGCUAGAGGAGCUGGUGGGGUAACUUACAAGCUGGAGAAUGAAGCGUACGUGUUGCCACAGGGAGUCACGGUCAAGUACUGUGUGUGUUCGAGUAGAAGUGUUUUCCCUUGACAUUUUUUCCCCCCCCCGCCCCUACCCAAAAUGGAGGAAAAUCAUCCUUAUCUCCAGGUAGCAGCAGGUACUUGGGAAGCAGCAUGCGGGGGACGCAGCAGCAGAGGAGAGAGGAAGGCAGAGAAGAAAUCUGGACUUUCCUGGAACCAAGGCCUGAAAUUAAUGGCAAGAGGACCAGAAGGGCAUGCUACCAGGAGGCCAUAUGCCAUGCUGGAACAGAGGGAUGAGACUGGAGCAUCUUCUGUGGGCAGCACACGCGAGCACGUAUGAGCAACGGCAGCAGACACCAACGUUCUCCGUGCCCAAGCACAGAGAACAGCGUCAGCGGGCAUCCUAGGAGAGAUGUCCCAAGUCAAACUUCCCCCAGAGGCAGAAGAUCGCCGUCCGAGCCGUGACCCACUUUGGUCCUGCUUUGAAGGAGAGGGAAGGCAGCGGGGACGGAUGCGGCUACGGCAGCGGGAUUUUUCUGCAGGCUGCGGUGUGGAAGUUUUUCCAGUAUGGCCUGAAUUCUGUGGACGGACUCUUUCCUGGCCUGACGAACACUGUCCUGGCCACCAGUCUCGAU